rnacentral:rRNA from 1 species
UCUCAGUUCGGAUUGUAGGCUGCAACUCGCCUACAUGAAGUCGGAAUCGCUAGUAAUCGCGGAUCAGCAUGCCGCGGUGAAUACGUUCCCGGGCCUUGUACACACCGCCCGUCACACCAUGAGAGUUUGUAACACCCAAAGCCGGUGGGGUAACCUUUUGGAGCCAGCCGUCUAAGGUGGGACACGAUGAUUGGGGUGAAGUCGUAACAAGGUAUC